UACGGGGGGGGCAAGCGUUGUUCGGAAUUACUGGGCGUAAAGGGCUCGUAGGCGGCCAACUAAGCCAGACGUGAAAUCCCUCGGCUUAACCGGGGAACUGCGUCUGAUACUGGAUGGCUAGAGGUUGGGAGAGGGAUGCGGAAUUCCAGGUGUAGCGGUGAAAUGCGUAGAUAUCUGGAGGAACACCGGUGGCGAAGGCGGCAUCCUGGACCAAUUCUGACGCUGAGGAGCGAAAGCCAGGGGAGCAAACGGG
rnacentral:rRNA from 1 species